UAUGUCAUUUUGGUUUGUGCUACUAACCCUAGGUGUUUCUUUACUUCUCCGCCAGUGUUUCUCCCCGCGCCUCCCUCUCCCUCUCCCUCACUCUCACUUCUCUGUCUGUGUUUCUCCCGCCGUCUCCCUCUCACAGCCCCGCAGCCUCGCCGUCUAGACAGUCGGACUCGACACUUGACAGCCAUCGCAAAGAUGAAGUCAAAUGCGAUGAAGUCAAAUGUAUUGAAGUCAAAUGCCUCAAGCUCAAACUCAAACUCAAUGAGAUAAAAUGGCUCUCAUGAAAAACCAAACUCAUCUACUUCUACUCCAUCACAAGACGUUGAUGGUGAAUCAACUCUGCCUCAAUAUCCAUGGUGGCAUCUCAACAAACUCCUACUAAUCUUUAUGGUGGAUUCGGAACCUCCUUCGAUGCAACUCGAAAAGGUGACUCGACAAAGGAAGAAAAGACGAAGCUCUCUUGGAAUCAUUAAAAACUCAUGAAAGGUGGUAAAAAUCCUUUCAAGAAAUUGGCGCCGUUACUGGGUUUUUGGAUAGCAAAGAAGUUAUGGCCUUUGUUCUACCAAUAGCGGGACAACCACUGAAGGAAUCCCUGGCAGCUCAUGCCACAGAAGUGCCAAGCUACAUUACCUAUCCUGAAGUUGAAGAUGGGUCCACGUUUGAGAUACGACAUCAUAUGUUAGAGAUUCUACCUUCCUUUCACAGUUUAUCAACAGAUGAUCCUAACAUGCAUCUAACCGAAUUUCUAAUUGGAUGCAAAAAUAUUUUGGUGAAAGGAUUUUCAGCAGAAUGUAUCAAACUUAGACUUUUUCCUUACACCUUGAAGGAUGGCGCAAGGAGAUGGUCACACUUCCAUCUGGAAGCAUUACUUCGUGGAACCAACUCAGUCUUGCGUUUUUAAGCAAAUACUACCUAGCUUAAAAAACACUUGAUAUGAGCACUCAAAUUUUAACAUUUGCUCAGAAACCGAAUGAAGCAAUUCAUGAAGCAUGGGAACGUUACAAGGAUCUGCUCAGGAAAUGUCCACAUUCAGGCAUUAAUGGUGACACUCAAAUGAAUUUAUUUUACAGAGGGCUGAAUUUGACUACUAAGACUGUUGUUAAUGCUUCUUGUGGAGGAACAUAUUCAGAAAAAAAUGCACUGCAAGUGUAUCAAUUGUUUGAGAGCAUGGCGACAAAAUCUCAACAAUGGGCAGUUGAUAUACCUCAGACCAAGGGUGUUUUUGAGAUGUCCAGUGGCGUACCUCAUGUACCUGCACAAAUAGAAAAGAUGGAGAAAAAGUUAGAAAAUUUUGAUGCAAAAUUUGGCAUUCUUUUACAAAGAAUGGCAGCACUUGUGUAGCAGGUUGCUAUCUAGCAGGCUACUGCAGCCACAUACCAUUUAUGGCAUCACAACACAUGAUUUAUGGGCUGCCCACAUAGGGAUGCAUAUCUGAAGCAUGCUAAAGAACAUAUUAAUGUAUUCAAUAAUUAUCAAAUGCCUAAGAAUGAUCCCUAUUCAAAUUUUUAUAACCCGGGUGGAAAGAUCACCCAAAUUUCAAGUGGAAUACAGAUCAACAGGUUAAAUCACAGUUUCAACAACAAAUACAACCUGCUGCUCAAGCUAAACCUUCUUGGGAAGUCACAAUUGAAAAAUUGGCAUAUCACAUUAAGGCAAGUUUUGAUGUAACAAAACAAGAAAUUCAGAAAAUCAACCAAAACAUUCAGAACAUACAAGUAACCAUGAAAUAUCUACAACAGCAAAUGGGGUAGCUUUCACUCUAGUUUUCAGGCAGAGAACCAGGAAAAUUUUCCAGCCAAAUAGUUCAAAAUCCAAGAGGUACAGAAUACUGUUGUGCAAUAAGGACAUUGAGAUCUAGAAAGUUAUGACAACCGUGAUGUAGAAAACAGUGCUGGAACUUCACGGGCAGCACCUUUGUAGCCACAAACAGGUUCUGAAAUUUUUACAGAAUCUGCCCAGCCACUGAAUAAAUCCAAAAAUACUGCAGUACCUGCUGCAGAAACUGUAGAAAAGUCGGAACGUGUUUAUGUGCCCCCCGAUGCCAUAUCCCGAUAGGUCCUAAAGCAAAAGAUCAGCAAUUAAGGGAUUUCAUGCAAACAUUGGCUAAAGUUCAUAUUAAUUUGCCAUUAUUAGAAGCCAUUCGAAAGAUCCCUUCCUAUGCCAAAAUUUUGAAAGAUGUUUGCAAUAAGAAAAGAAAGCUUGUUGAGUCAUAAAAAAUUGUGCUAACAAAACAGAGCAGCGCAGUUUUACUACACAAAUUGCCUCAAAGAAGAAGGAUCCAGGGAGUUUUGAGAAGUAUCUACUAAAGCCACGAGGUAAAAUGUAAAAUGUUGCAAGGCAGCCCAAAUUUUGAGAAGUAUCUACUAAAGCCAUUUUUAAGAAAGUUCAGUGCAAGCGAGUCAAUGACUCUGAAGGAUCCAGCAACUUAAUCACUGGUCUUCUAUUCUGUCUAGCUACAGACGUUAAAUAAAGCGCUUAUUGGGAGACAGCAAACAAGACAAACAGGACUUUGUGCAAAGAGAGAUUAUUUUAGAUUGAAUCAUGCAUCCAGUUGUAGAAUUACAUCAACAUCAACCACAUAUGUGAUUCACAUAGCAUAGAUGGGUGUUUAUACCUUUCAGAUCCAAGGUCGGGGCGACUUCGAGAUUUGCUUUGCCAUUUUGUCGACUACAUUUGCAGCUUGAGCAUUCUUUUUCUCGAAUUUCCACUCGAUCUGAGCCAUAUACAUGCACAGAGAGACGAACAUUUAAGCUAUGCAGUGAUAUUGAACCAUUCUUUGCCAUACGGAGCUCAACAUUUCACGACAUGAGUUUUUACCUGUCUUAUGUUGGGAUUUGUGGGUCUGAGACGAUUUGCUUCCGUUUCUACUUUUCAGGCGAUAUAUCCGCGAGCAGUCUACACACAUUUUAACUCAGAAAAUGAAUGGAUGUUAGAUUCCUUCGCCUUUUGGUCCCAAACAAAAAUGACAGAAAUGGGACUUAGGAACUAACAUCAAAACCGAAGUUUGGGGAUGGAUGUGUUUUACCUGUAGAAUGGAGGAGUUUGGGACGAUUAGCCAUGGAUCUACAAAUUUUAGGGUAGUGGUGCGUCUCUCUCGUUGUCAAUUCGCGUACCCCCGCAGAAAAAUACAUGCAUGUGUACGAAUUUUGUUUUCAUUUGCCUUCGGUCAUGAAAUCGAAAGGAAUAAGAUGUGGUUGCAUUUUACUUAGGGAAAGUGGCCCUGUAUUUGCAACAGUAAACAAGUUUGAGGGUGGUUCUGCCUCGUUCUCCAUUUUAGUAUCAGAGGAGAUGCAGCUUUGUGGUCUUUGUUUUCUAUUGUAGAAUUAAAGAGAGAGGCUUCUGAUUUUCUUGAUAGAGCGACCUGGGGUUUACAAAGCAUUCAGAAAGGUGAGAGUGAUCUAGCUGUUCAUUUAGGAGACAGAGAGCCGUUGGUAUUUCCCAUACCUAUUCUGAGCUGGGUGUUUUGAAUUAAAGAGACAGAGAGCUGUUGGCUUGGUCACAAACAGUUCGGUUUUGGUGCACGUGUGUGGUGUACGUGUGCUAGGCGUAGGCUGGUAUUCACAAUAAUGCAUGGGUCUUUUUAGGGCCUAGUUUCUUUUGCUUUUAAUGGCUGCCAUUCUUACUCCAUGUUUCUUUGCAUCAGGCCCCAUGCCCACUACCAAGUCCACAUUUUUAAAUCCAGGUGUUCUCUUUUCUUGUAUAUCUUUAUUUAUUUAUUUUAUUUUUUUCAUUUCUUUAUUUCAUUUAGUCAGGUUUCAUGUAGUUAGGUUUCUUUAUUGGCCUUACUGUCUUUUACGUUUAGUUAGGUUUCUUUGGUGUCCUUGAUCUCAUUUUUGUUUUCCACACCUUGAGGACAAAGUGUGAUUUAAGUUUGGGUGUGGGAAUUAGAA